rnacentral:lncRNA from 1 species
UGAGUGUCUCACUUUCCCUUUGAAUGUUCUGGAGGCAUCCCACAUCAUCAUGUGAUCACAAUUACUCACCUGCAGCUGUGGCAGUGGGCACCCCAUUUAUACCCUAUGACCAUUUCAGUACAGCCAGCCCAACUUCCAAGUCUACUUUCUUCUCCUGAAGCUCUUUCUGGCCUCUAAAGGCAGCUUUGCCCAUACAUGGAGCAGAUCAGAAGUGAAAAGAACCGGCUUUCUCUGUGGUUAUAACUUGAUUUGCAAACGGCAAGUGAAAGGCAGUUCUCCCUGAAAAGAAUCCUGUUCAUGCAUCACCCAGGAUCCUGGAACAGCUGCCUCCUCUCUAAGCAGAAGAGCCCUGGUGGCCUCUGUGCAUGAAGACCAUUUGGGGCCUAAUGAAGUGCAAAGUUGGGAAAUUCAGCUCCUAACCAACUCAUCACCAGAAACACAGUGGCAGACAGCUGUUAGGGCCGAACAUUAUCAUCAUCAUAAUACCUAUCACGGAGUGAACCCCUGCUAUGUGCCAGGCACUGUCCAGGCAUCUUCACUAAGAUUACAGCCUUUGACACUCACUACAGUCUAAUACAGUGUAAUUUCUUGCCUUCAUUUUCUAGUGGAGGAGAGAAAAUGGGAUUUCCCCAAAGAUGUACUGCUGUAAGUGGUAGAAUCAAGAUUUAUUAUAAAAUGAGGUUGAUCUGA